rnacentral:lncRNA from 1 species
AGUCUCUGUGUGCUCUGUGGCCGCCAUUCGGGACUGCAGCUGUCCGCGCUCCUCAAGACGCUGCCCUGCCCGAGGACGGGAGCCCCGAGGAAGGAAUGGCUUCUGGGCUGCUGACAGCCAGGCUGCAGAUUUCCUCAUUCUUGGGGCCAUUCUCUGAUACUUGGGACUUUGUGGAAGAGCUCGGCUUCUCCGUGACGUCCGUUU